rnacentral:rRNA from 1 species
GACGAACGCUGGCGGCGCGCUUAACACACGCAAGUCGAACGGAAAGGCCUGCUUUCCCUUGUGGAUUGCGGGUACUCGAGUGGCGAACGGGUGAGUAACACGUGAGUGAUCUGCCCCCAACUUGGGUAUAAGCCUGGGAAACUGGGUCUAAUUCCCGAUAGGACUGCAGGGUGGUGCCUGUGGUGGAAAACGAUUUUCUAGUGGUUGGGGAUGAGCUCGCGGCCUAUCAGCUUGUUGGUGGGGUAAUGGCCUACCAAGGCGGCGACGGGUAGCCGGCCUGAGAGGGUGGACGGCCACAUUGGGACUGGGAUACGGCCCAGACUCCUACGGGAGGCAGCAGUGGGGAAUAUUGCACAAUGGGCGGAAGCCUGAUGCAGCGACGCCGCGUGGGGGAUGACGGCCUUCGGGUUGUAAACUCCUUUCGACCGCGAGGAAGCCACCUGGUUGGAAGGGUGGUGACGGUAGUGGUAGAAGAAGCACCGGCUAACUACGUG